GAUGCAAUAGGGAAGGCACUCAAGGACGGUUGGCACACCCCUGUCAUUGAUGGGUUCGCAUCAGCGAAUCCGGAAGGAGGUGAUGCCAUGGAAGUAAAGGAUGCCGUAACGUUGAUGUUCAUGUUCGGCAUGUUUAUUCUCGCUUUACUUUCCUACUUAAAAAAGAAGUAGACCUCCCUUGAGCCUUGGAACCCGAGAGGUCUACCGCUUGGUUAUUCCUUGCGCCGAUCGCCUUGAGGGCAAUCUAUUGUAGUGAGGUCGCGGAUGCUGGAACAUUCGCG
rfam:Paenibacillus sp. MSt1 Contig_8, whole genome shotgun sequence.